CGGCAAUGGAGGAAACUCUGACCGAGCAACGCCGCGUGUAUGACGGAGUACUUCGGUAUGUAAAGUUCUUUUAUCAAGGAAGAAAAGCAAAUGGCGAACCAUUUGUUUGCCGGUACUUGAUGAAUAAGCCCCGGCUAAUUAUGUGCCAGCAGCCGCGGUAAGACAUAAGGGGCAAGUGUUAUCCGGAAUUAUUGGGCGUAAAGGGUGCGUAGGCGGUCUAGUAAGUCAGUGGUGUAAUGGCAACGCUUAACGUUGUCCGGCUAUUGAAACUGCUAAACUUGAGUUAGAUAGAGGCGAGUGGAAUUCCAUGUGUAGCGGUAAAAUGCGUAAAUAUAUGGAGGAACACCAGAGGCGUAGGCGGCUCGCUGGGUCUUAACUGACGCUGAGGCACGAAAGCGUGGGGAGCAAACAGGAUUAGAUACCCUGGUAGUCCACGCCGUAAACGAUGAGUACUAAGUGUCGGGUUAAACCGGUACUGAAGUUAACACAUUAAGUACUCCGCCUGAGUAGUACGUACGCAAGUAUGAAACUUAAAGGAAUUGACGGGACUCCGCACAAGCGGUGCAUCAUGUUGUUUUAUUCGAAGAUACCCGAAAAACCUUACCAGGUCUUGACAUGUUUUUGCAAAAUGAUAGUAAUAUCGUGGAGGUUACCAGAAACACAGGUGGUGCAUGGUUGUCGUCAGCUCGUGUCGUGAGAUGUUAGGUUAAGUCCUAAAACGAGCGAAACCCUUAUGGUUAGUUGCCAGCACGUUAUGGUGGGGACUUUAACGAGACUGCCAAUGAUAAAUUGGAGGAAGGUGAGGAUCACGUCAAAUCAGCAUGCCCCUUAUGACCUGGGCUACAAACGUGAUACAAUGGCUGUUACAAAGAGUUAGCUGAA
rnacentral:rRNA from 1 species